AUUGAACGCUGGCGGCAGGCCUAACACAUGCAAGUCGAACGAUAGGCGGACGGGUGAGUAAUGUCUGGGCCACUGCCUGAUGGAGGGGGAUAACUACUGGAAACGGUAGCUAACACCGCAUACUCUCGGAUGUGCCCAGAUGGGAUGAGCUUGUAGGUGGGGUAACGGCUCACCUGGUCGACGAUCCCUAGCUGGUCUGAGAGGAUGACCAGCCAAACUGGAACUGAGACACGGUCCAGACUCCUACGGGAGGCAGCAGGGGGGAAUAUUGCACAAUGGGCGCAAGCCUGAUGCAGCCAUGCCGCGUGUAUGAAGAAGGCCUUCGGGUUGUAAAGUACUUUCAGCGGGGAGGCGUUACCCGCAGAAGAAGCACCGGCUAACUCCGUGCCAGCAGCCGCGGUAAUUC
rnacentral:rRNA from 1 species